AGAACCUGCCUUUCAGGCAUCCUCUCCCAAACUUCCACGACCCGGCUUUGGCCGGGUCUUUUUUUGCCUAUGC
rnacentral:sRNA from 1 species